GGUCAUCAAACUGGAGACAGGACACCCUUGCCCAGUUAGCAUUUUAGUUCAGCUUGCCUGGGUUCUCAUUCCAAAUUCCUGCCCCCAAAUCCUUGGUCACCCCCAAGAGUAGAUCUUUAUCCACAACAGGCCACUGUUGAACCUAAGGUUUCCCAGAGGAAACCAGAAAAGACUUCCCUUAUGUUGGGGUUUUAGGGUACCCAAUAAAUAGGACCCCUCUUUCCUGCCCAACUUCUGAGCCAAUUAAGAGGAAUAGGAAUCAGGCAGAUAGAGGGAAAAUAUCACCAUUCUUUUAAGUUGACAAAGUCUUGGUUGGUGGCUAUCAUUUCAGGUCCUUGGGCUUGUUAAUAUUGUACCACUGAUGGCAAACAGAAACUUUGCAACAUGGAGAUUUACCACUUAAAAGUUAAGGCUUGGAGGGGCAGAGGAUGUUUACUUUCCUCAGGCUCUUCCCAGAGAGAAAGGAAUAGGUGAGGCGUACAUCUUCCAUUGCUUCUCCCAGGCCGACUGAAGUUCCUCUUCCUCCAAUGAAGUGAAGGAGAGAGAGGAUGCAGGCGGCCAGGGGAUUUACUCAAUGGAAACAUGUCCCCAAUAGAAACAAGGACAGCAGGGAACAAAUGUUCCCAUCAGCUACCUACAACAGAUCUUCGUCUACAAUUCUUAUUGUAUCACUGAGAUAAAUUCCCAAAAAGAAACACAUCAGGCCAAAAGACAGAAACAUAUUAAGACUGAGAACACCAACAUCAAAGGUUUAAAAGAUAAAGCUGGAUACAUGGAAAUGUAUUUUCUUUAUUGCCUUUAUUUCUUUUUAACUCGCCUCUGUCUUCACUGGAGAACAUAGGGAGAAAUUCAAGCAAGUAACGGGUGUUCCAGUUCAUCGAGGGUCUGUCAUGAUGGCUUAUGAGGUCAUGACACAGACCCACAGGGAUUGCA
rnacentral:lncRNA from 1 species